GAUGAACGCUAGCGGGAGGCCUAACACAUGCAAGCCGAGCGGUAGAGAUUCUUCGGAAUCUUGAGAGCGGCGUACGGGUGCGGAACACGGGUGCAACCUGCCUUUAUCAGGGGGAUAGCCUUGCGAAAGGAAGAUUAAUACCCCAUAAUAUAUUUGAUGCCAUCAUUAGAUAUCGAAAGCUUUGGCGGCUAGAGAUGGGCACGCGCAAGCUUAGAUAGUUGGUGAGGUAACGGCUCACCAAGACGAUGAUCUGUAGGGGGGCUGAGGGGGUGAGCCCCCACACUGGUACUGCGCCACGGACUCGUCUCCUACGCGAGGCAGCAGUAAGGUAUAUUAGACAAUGGGUUCGCGCCCAAUCCAGCCAUGCCGCGUGAAGGACGCCGGCCCUAUGGGUUGUAAUCUUCUUUUGUACAGGGAUAGCACUACUCUCGUGAGAGUAGCUGACGGUACUGUAAGAAUAAGCACCGGCUAACUCCGUG
rnacentral:rRNA from 1 species